UUGGGCGUAAGAGCUCGUAGGCGGUUUGUCGCGUCUGCUGUGAAAUCCCGAGGCUCAACCUCGGGCUUGCAGUGGGUACGGGCAGACUAGAGUGCGGUAGGGGAGAUUGGAAUUCCUGGUGUAGCGGUGGAAUGCGCAGAUAUCAGGAGGAACACCGAUGGCGAAGGCAGAUCUCUGGGCCGUAACUGACGCUGAGGAGCGAAAGCAUGGGGAGCGAACAGGAUUAGAUACCCUGGUAGUCCAUGCCGUAAACGUUGGGCGCUAGAUGUAGGGACCUUUCCACGGUUUCUGUGUCGUAGCUAACGCAUUAAGCGCCCCGCCUGGGGAGUACGGCCGCAAGGCUAAAACUCAAAGGAAUUGACGGGGGCCCGCACAAGCGGCGGAGCAUGCGGAUUAAUUCGAUGCAACGCGAAGAACCUUACCAAGGCUUGACAUACACCGGAAACGGCCAGAGAUGGUCGCCCCCUUGUGGUCGGUGUACAGGUGGUGCAUGGUUGUCGUCAGCUCGUGUCGUGAGAUGUUGGGUUAAGUCCCGCAACGAGCGCAACCCUCGUUCUAUGUUGCCAGCGGGUUAUGCCGGGGACUCAUAGGAGACUGCCGGGGUCAACUCGGAGGAAGGUGGGGAUGACGUCAAAUCAUCAUGCCCCUUAUGUCUUGGGCUUCACGCAUGCUACAAUGGCCGGUACAAAGGGCUGCGAUACCGUAAGGUGGAGCGAAUCCCAAAAAGCCGGUCUCAGUUCGGAUUGAGGUCUGCAACUCGACCUCAUGAAGUCGGAGUCGCUAGUAAUCGCAGAUCAGCAACGCUGCGGUGAAUACGUUCCCGGGCCUUGUACACACCGCCCGUCAAGUCAUGAAAGUCGGUAACACCCGAAGCCGGUGGCCUAACCCUUGUGGAAGGAGCCGUCGAAGGUGGGAUCGGUGAUUAGGACGAAGUCG
rnacentral:rRNA from 2 species